UUGCGGUUAAAAAGCUCGUAGUUGGAUCUCGGCAAGUAGAGGGCGGUAUGCUUCGUAGCAUUACUGCCCUAUUACUUGUAGUUUUGCCAGAGGUUCCUGGGUGCUCUUAAUCGAGUGUCUAGGGAUGCUGGCAGGUUUACUUUGAAAAAAUUAGAGUGCUCAAAGCAGGCUACUACGCUUGAAUAUUCGUGCAUGGAAUAAUAGAAUAGGAAGUUGUUUCUAUUUUGUUGGUUUUCGGAAAUCGACUUAAUGAUUAAUAGGGACAGUCGGGGGCAUUUGUAUUCAAACGACAGAGGUGAAAUUCUUGGACCGUUUGAAGACAAACUACUGCGAAAGCAUUUGCCAAGAAUGUUUUCAUUAAUCAAGAACGAAAGUUAGAGGUUCGAAGGCGAUUAGAUACCGCCCUAGUUCUAACCAUAAACGAUGCCAGCUAGCGAUCUGAGGACGUUUUUUUUGUAGACUCCUCAGGAAGCUUCCGGGAAACCAAAGCGUGUGGGUUCCGGGGGAAGUAUGGUUGCAAAGCUGAAACUUAAAGGAAUUGACGGAAGGGCACCACCAGGAGUGGAGCCUGCGGCUUAAUUUGACUCAACACGGGAAAUCUCACCAGGCCCGGACACUGGAAAGAUUGACAGAUUGAGAGCUCUUUCUCGAU
rnacentral:rRNA from 1 species